AUGAGUCAAGUGUUUAGCACUUUGAAGGGAUUUGAUGUCUUAAAAAUUAUGAGUUACAGUGUUGGAAGCGUUAUUGCAAAUUUUGAACUGAUCAUCGCUAAUUCCAUCCUGCCACAAGACCUGAUGCAAAAAUCACAAUUUCUGACCAGCAAACUGUCGGCCUCACUUAACUUCAUAACUUUAGGUGUGGUCCAGUUAAGUAGCCCACCCAACCCUGUGUGUUACAACUGGAAGCAUAAUGUCAGCUGCUCAGUGCAGGGGGACCUGAAGAACAAACCAUUGUGGCAGCUGUUAAAACAGGACAACGCGUUUGAAAUAACUAAUGGCACUGGGUCAGAAGUGACAACAACAAAUGGAAGCACAGUUACACUUAAAAACAUAACAGAAUUCUGGGCAGGAGUAUAUACAUGUACCUAUAGUGACAUCAUGAAUCUAGUCACCAUAUCCCAUAAAGCCAGCACUGUAAUGGAUGUAUCCACCCUGCCAAACAUCGACAUCACUACAGAUCCAGGAUUUCCACGCUGUAAACAAGGAACAGAUCUAGUCAAAGUAAGGGUCAUCUGUGACAUUGGCAUAAGCAGUGAACCAUAUAAUGUGACAUGGGCAAGCCUAAACAUCAAGGCUCAACUAAAUGAAGUUAAAUCUGGUAAGUAUAUUUCUUUGUAUUCAUUUAAGUGAAGCUUCAUGAAAAUUAGAAACCUGAAAAAUUUAUGACACACAUAUGUGAUCCUUGCAGGUUCUCCUCGUUACGCAGUUGAUACGUAUGUUAGCUGUUCAUACCAAAGUGCACCAGAAGUAACCUGCACGUUUACGAACAGAUGCUCUCAAAAUCGAAGUGCUUCAGUCAAGAUCAUUAUCAUCUAUGGUAUGUUUUAAUAUUAGUUCAAAUAUUGUUGAAUUAUUUUCCAUUUUAUUUGGGUGUCCAAAUUCUCAGUGAGUUUUCUGUUUUAUGAAAUGAAUCCUUAGAUAAUCCUACUAUAAAAUGAAAGCUGUACCACAUGCAUAUAUAGUUUAGCUAAAAGGAUCUGAAAAGGGUCUGAAAUUUCAAUUUACCCUGAACGAUUCUGUUUCAUACACCAGUGAAUCCCCAGUCUGUGAUGUAAAGGCCAGUCACAUGCCUGGACAGUUUAACCUGUGAUGAAAUAUUCUAAAAUUAACAAUUAUUUAUUGCUUUUUACUUUUUCCAGAACGUUCAACCACAUCCAUCAGUUGUCUUUAAUGGAACACAGCUCAGUUGUUUAGCAGUCCCAUAGUAAAAAACUAGUGUUGAACCUGACGUAUGAUUCUCAGAGGUAUUUUUAAAGAUCUGAACUUGUGUCUUCUAUGGGGUUCCCUGAGCUCCAGGCUGGGAACCACCGAUGCAGAGAAUAUUGCUCCAGUGAAGAUGGGAGUGAUUUCAGACAGCAAAUAUUUGACAGGAAGUGAUAUAUGAAGUUUUUUUUGUACCUCUAUGGCCUUCACAUCCUCCAACUGAAUUUCAGAUUACCUUCUUGUUGUCCUGAAGUUAACUUUGCCCAUUUUUGAUCAUAUUAUCAUUAUUAUUAUUGUUGUUGUUUUAAUUAACUUUUUCUUCUUUUCAAAACAGUCAGUGAUUUAUUCUGUGAAUCUGAUGGUGACUGGAAAGACACCAAAGCUGGAUACGAUGCAGUGAUAAAAUGCCAGAAUGCACAUGGAACAAGACAAAGGACAUGCAAAAAAACGUAGGGCUACAACUAAUGAUUGUUUUUAUUAGUAAAUAAUUUGCUUAUUACUUUUUCAGUUUAUGUACCCCUGCCUCCCACCCAAAGAGAGCUGGGAUAGGCUCCAGCAGAUCCCCGUGACCCUGGUUAAGGAAUAAGCGGGUAUAGAAAAUGGAUGGAUGGAUUUUUCUAGUUUACCCAUUAUUUAUAUUGCCCAAAAUAGUGUAAAGUGCCAAUCACAGCAGUUUGUUUUGUGCAAAAUUUAAGUUUUGAAAAGGAUUUUUUUUUAUUGAUUUGAUUAAUGAUUAAUCCACUAAUCAUUUCAGAACACCUGCACAAUGGGAACAGGAGGAAUCUAACUGUGUGAACUUAGAUUUGAAGAGUGUGCUGCAAAGUGCAAUUGUAAGCCUAUCUUCAUUCUUUAAUAGUGAUAAACAAACCGACUAAUUUUUUGGAAAGCAACAAAUUAAAAUAGCAUAGGAUGCAAAAGCUCUAACC
ensembl:lncRNA